rnacentral:piRNA from 1 species
UCCAAACUAUGUCAAAGCGAUGGCACCAU